UACGUAGGGUGCGAGCGUUAAUCGGAAUUACUGGGUGUAAAGGGUUCGUAGGCGGUGUGGCAAGUUGGGAGUGAAAUCUCUGGGCUCAACCCAGAGGCUGCUUCCAAAACUGCCAUGCUUGAGUGUGGGAGAGGCGCGUGGAAUUGCAGGUGUAGCGGUGAAAUGCGUAGAUAUCUGCAGGAACACCCGUGGCGAAAGCGGCGCGCUGGACCACAACUGACGCUGAGGAACGAAAGCUAGGGGAGCAAACAGG
rnacentral:rRNA from 1 species